GAAGUCAAGACAAUCUGGAUGCCAAACGAGAACCUAGAAUUCUGAUAUCUCUGGGCAACAGUGUAACAGACUUGUUGGGGUUAGGAUCAUGCCAUCUACACCAGGAUCAUCCCAUCUAAGCUCAAGGAUACUCAUCACCAGGCUGGCUAAAGGAUGAUUUUUUCAGGAACAGAAACUCACAAUUCAUCUCCUAAGUUAUUGAGAAUUAUGAUCAGGAUUGGUGGAAAGAGGUCCCUUAGCAACAUAAAUACAGAUGAAGACAUUGAUACUCAAGAACAUGAAAUGACUUGCUGAAAGUCAUAUGAGUAGGAGUAAGCAUCAAAAGUAAGAUUUGAACCCACAUCCUCUAAACUGCUAAGCCAACACUCUUUUUACCAAACCAUAGUCCUGAGUCCUUAUUGUGAAAUCAGCCAAGAUGGUUGAGGAGAAAGCAGUAAGUUGAAACUACCAGUUGCUCCAACAAAGACCUAAGAAGAAUGCCAGACUGAACAGCAGUUAGUAAAUCUAAGGAGGACUCAUAAUGAAUCAUCUUUCCAGCUCAAGAUCCCAAAUUCAACUAACAGGCAAGUGAUAAAGGCA